ACCUUCGUGGUGUAGUAGUCAGCACGCAGGGCGCGUAUUCCAGAGAUCCGUGGUUCGAGUCCCGGCGAAGGCG
rnacentral:tRNA from 1 species